AAAACACAAUAAGUAGCGUACUAGUGAAUGACUGAAUUGACUAGAUCUACCGCUGUUAGUGAAAUACUAAACUAACAUCACUGUUGCAUUCUUAUUGUUCACAAAAAGGGGCGUACGUUUUGACUUUUCACAAUGCUGGAUCGAGUUCGAGUCAUCUUUGGGACGAUGGUGAUCCUCAUGAUGGGGACUUUGGCUGGAUUCUUUUCACCCUAUUGGUUUCAUGACGAAACAAUGUCCGAGAUAUUGAAUGUACCAGUAACUGUAAGUAGAUCAUACAUUA
rnacentral:sRNA from 1 species